GACGAACGCUGGCGGCGUGCUUAACACAUGCCAGUCGAACGGAAAGGCCCUGCUUUUGUGGGGUGCUCGAGUGGCGAACGGGUGAGUAACACGUGAGUAACCUGCCCUUGACUUUGGGAUAACUUCAGGAAACUGGGGCUAAUACCGGAUAGGAGCUCCUGCUGCAUGGUGGGGGUUGGAAAGUUUCGGCGGUUGGGGAUGGACUCGCGGCUUAUCAGCUUGUUGGUGGGGUAGUGGCUUACCAAGGCUUUGACGGGUAGCCGGCCUGAGAGGGUGACCGGCCACAUGGGGACUGAGAGACGGCGCAGACUCCUACGGGAGGCAGCAGUGGGGAAUAUGGCACAAUGGGCGGAAGCCUGAUGCAGCAACGCCGCGUGCGGGAUGACGGCCUUCGGGGUGUAAACCGCUUUCGCCUGUGACGAAGCGUGAGUGACGGUAAUGGGUAAAGAAGCACCGGCUAACUACGUG
rnacentral:rRNA from 1 species